AACGAACGCUGGCGGCAGGCUUAACACAUGCAAGUCGAACGCAUCGCAAGAUGAGUGGCAGACGGGUGAGUAACGCGUGGGAACCUACCCUUUACUACGGAAUAACUCAGGGAAACUUGUGCUAAUACCGUAUGUGCCCUAUGGGGGAAAGAUUUAUCGGUAAAGGAUGGGCCCGCGUUGGAUUAGCUAGUUGGUGGGGUAAAGGCCUACCAAGGCGACGAUCCAUAGCUGGUCUGAGAGGAUGAUCAGCCACAUUGGGACUGGGACACGGCCCAAACUCCUACGGGAGGCAGCAGUGGGGAAUAUUGGACAAUGGGCGCAAGCCUGAUCCAGCCAUGCCGCGUGAGUGAUGAAGGUCUUAGGAUUGUAAAGCUCUUUCACCGAUGAAGAUAAUGACGGUAGUCGGAGAAGAAGCCCCGGCUAACUUCGUGCCAGCAGCCGCCGUAA
rnacentral:rRNA from 1 species